UUGCAGAAUUCAGUGAAUCAUCGAAUCUUUGAACGCACCUUGCACCUUUUGGUAUUCCAAGAGGUACACCUGUUUGAGUGUCAUG
rnacentral:rRNA from 1 species